rnacentral:lncRNA from 1 species
AAAAACAAUAUACUAAUUGAGCUAUGGACUUCAUGAAAGUUAGAAAGUAUGUCAUUAAUCUUUGACUCCUAAGAACAUGGUGUAGUGGCUGACUCCUAGCAGGUAGUCAAUAAUAUUUAUUAAACUGAACUAAAUUGAAUUGAGGGCAACCGAUGUCUAGAAAAUGUAAAUAAUUUCACUUAGUCUACAGUGAUUAUGGAUAAAAGAAGAGAAAAAAUAGAAAUAUAGGUUUAGGAGUUCCAUCAUGGCUUAGUGGUUAAUGAACCUGACUAGUAUCCAUGAAGAUGUGGGUUCGAUCCUUGGCCUUGCUCGGUGUAUUGGGGAUCCAGCAUUGCCAUGAACUGUGGUAGGUCACAGACGCAGCUUGGAUCUGGUGUUGCUGUGACUGUGGCAUAGGCCGGCAGCUACAGCUUCAAUUCGACCCCUGGACUGGGAACCUCCAAAUGCUGUGGGUGUGGCCCUAAAAAGACCAAAUAUAUAUAUUACAACUAACACAUUUUUCUGGAAACAUGAGGUUUAUUAGAAAAGACUAACUUUCUGCAUGCUCAAAUUAUUUAUUGUUGACUUUGUAUAUUAGUUUUUAAAUGGUCAUUCUGGCUUCUGAUUCAUGUCAUCAGUAAUAGAUUGAAAUUGAAUUUUUAGAAAUCCCCCAUAUUUUGGAAAUUAUUUAUUAACAAAGGCGAAAAGGGUGGGAAAAAAGCCCAAAUUAAAAAAAAAAGGCUUGGUAAUUUAUGCACUUAAAAAAUUUUGCAGGGAGUUGCAACUGUGGCACAGUGGAUUAAGAAUCUGACUUCAGUGGCUCAGGUCCCUGUGGAGGUGCAGGUUCAGUCCCUGGCCCAGGAACUUCCAUAUGCCAUGGGUGUGGCCAUGAAAAAAAUUAGCAGGGUAUAUUUUUGUGUGAAUAGGUAUUUUAUCAAUUGGUCCAUCAAUCCACCUACUCACUUGCUCAUUAUAACAGUGUUGAGGUUGGCAUUUAGAAGCCUACUUGAGAAUCUGUUCUUUAUCAUCAGUGAAUUUUUUCAAUAACGUUUCUCUAAAUAAGAACUUUAAUGGAUAGCAAGUUAGGGUCUGAUUUCCAUUUUCUUUAUUGUAAAAAUUGGGCUUGCUUAUGUGGGUUGUGAGAAAAAUAUAUAGUCUUAAAAUACAUCCAUCCAAUCAUUCAACAUAAAUGUCAGUAACACAUACUUUGGGCUAAAUGCUGAGAAUUCAGUAGUGAAUACAGUUUACAGAUUUUAGAGAUGGAAGGAACACCAAGAGACAUUAUAGGAUGGGCUUGUGAGGCAUAGUUGCUGACUAAUGAGAGAUAGACAUGGAGAAACGUUAAAUGACUUGCCCAAGAUCACAGAGAUUGUAACUUAUUCCUCAGAAUGUAUAAGAUUAUUUUUAGGAGUUCCCGUCGUGGCGCAGUGGUUAAUGAAUCCGACUAGGAACCAUGAGGUUGCGGGUUCGAUCCCUGCCCUUGCUCAGUGGGUUAAGGAUCCGGCGUUGCCGUGAGCUGUGGUGUAGGUUGCAGACACGUUGCUCGGAUCCCGCGUUGCUGUGGCUCUGGCGUAGGCCGGUGGCUACAGCUCCGAUUCAACCCCUAGCCUGGGAACCUCCAUAUGCCGCGGGAGCAGCCCAAGAAAUAGCAACAACAACAACAAAAAAGACAAAAAAAAAAAAAAAUUAUAGUUAUAAAUAUUGAUAAGACACUAAAAUAGUACAAAAUAAUACUACGGAACAUACAAUACAAAUUGAUCCUUUCAUAAACUGUUCUUAGUUUGUAUAACACAGCAUCUUUUUAGAACUUGGGAUUUCUCUUAUUUGAUCUUUGUACUUUCUGUGGCUUUUGUCAAAUUUGUAUAUGGACUCUUUUUUAAGAAAAGAAAUUCCCAUAAUUCCCAACAGUCACAUUUUCAGAUGCUUAGUGGCUGGUGGAUCUCAGUUUGAGAAUGAAAAUGCCUUUUAACUACAAAUUACUACUGUAAAAGAGAUAUUUUGUUUUCAAUUGGCAAAGGUGUUUUGGAUUUCAAAAUGAAAAGAAAACAAAGUACAAUCAUCAAACAAUAAAAAAUUUUGCAGUUUUCAGGUCAAAAACUUAAUAUUUUUCAUAUGUAAACUUUACACAAAUUUGUAAGUAAUACAUUCAGACAUCCAUAAGUACAUGGGCAAACAACCUGAUAAAUAAUUUACAAAAGAUAAAAUAAAAAUGACUAGUAAGCAUUUAAAGUGUUCACCUUAAAUAAUAAUUUAAAAAAUAAUUUACAAUAGACCAUUUUUUGACUUAUAAAAUUGGAUGUUUUUAAAAACUAUAACCUAUUUUGAUGAAUAUUUUUAAUAAUAGGAAAAUAAUUACAAGCAAUCUAAUUAUCCAACAGUGUGGAAAGAAAAUAUGCAUUGAUGUAAUAUGGCAUUACCUGGACAUUAAAAUGUUGCUUUUGAAAAAUUUUAAAUAGUAGAAAUGCUUAAGUAUCAUACUAAGUGUAAGAAGCAGUGAACAAAAAGUGUGAUUUUUACCUUGUCAAAAUAUACCUAGAGGAUACUGAUAAGUAUAUAAUGGUAAUAGAAGAUAUUAUCAGUUGGAGAAACUGGGUGAAGAGUAUAAGCAAUUCUCAGUACUAUUUUUUCAACUUUUCUGUAAGUCUAAAAUUAUUUCAAAAUGUUAAAAAAAUAUACCUAGAAAAAGGACUCAUAGGAAAAACAACAAAAUCUUAGUAGUAACUUGCAUUUAGUAAAAAGCUUUUUCCUUUCAUUUAAAAAAUGCUCUCCUGUAACAAAUCUUUACAAGUUAUGUGUUAUAUAAUCAUUACAUCCACAUCCACACACAUACACAACCCCUCUCCCUGAAAUUAGAACAACAGAAGUUUCCGUUGUGGCUCAGUGGUAAUGAACCCAACAAAUAUCCAUGAGGACGUGGGUUUGAUCCCUGGCCUUGGUCAGUUAAGGUUCUGGUGUUGCCACGAGCUGUGGUGUAGGUCACAGAUGUGGCUUGGAUUUGGUUGCUAUGGCUGUGGCAUAGGCUGGCAGCUGCAGCUCCAAAUCAGCCCCUAGUCUGGGAACUUCUGUGUGCUGCAGGUGUGGCCCUAACAAGACAAAAAG